rnacentral:misc_RNA from 1 species
UUGAUAAGCGUGAGGUCGGAGGUUCAAGUCCUCCCAGGCCCACCAAUUUACCUAUCCAUUUGCUUUUAUCCGUUUAUUUGCCGAUUUAUCGGUCCAUUGAAUUUAAGUGUUGGUAGCAGUUUUUAUAAUGAUGAGAAAUCAUGCUUAUAAAAGAACUCCUUAUAAAAGGCUUGUUUUUAAAAUGUGACGCUUAUCCAUUUCGCUUAGGCAAGAGAAACUUCAAGCGGUUCAAAUGCAAAAGGCUUUAAAUUUUGCAAAACACUUUGAAUUUUAAAGUGAUCCAAGUUCGUGAUCUCGAAUUUAAAAGUUUCGAAUGCUUUAUCCUUUUUUGGGGGCCGUAGCUCAGCUGGGA